AGUGGGAUAACUGGGUCAAAUGGUAAUUCCAUUCCAAGUUUUCUGAGGAAUCUCCAUACUGCUUUCCAUAAUGUUUACACCACUUUGUAGUCCCACCAGCAAU
rnacentral:pre_miRNA from 1 species